rnacentral:misc_RNA from 1 species
GAUGAAGAACGCAGCGAAAUGCGAUAAGUAGUGUGAAUUGCAGAAUUCAGUGAAUCAUCGAAUCUUUGAACGCACAUUGCGCCCUUUGGUAUUCCAAAGGGCAUGCCUGUUCGAGCGUCAUUUGUACCCUCAAGCUUUGCUUGGUGUUGGGCGUCUUGUCUCUAGCUUUGCUGGAGACUCGCCUUAAAGUAAUUGGCAGCCGGCCUACUGGUUUCGGAGCGCAGCACAAGUCACACUCUCUAUCAGCAAAGGUCUAGCAUCCAUUAAGCCUUUUUUUCAACUUUUGACCUCGGAUCAGGUAGGGAUACCCGCUGAACUUAAGCAUAUCAAUAGCGGAGGA